rnacentral:rRNA from 1 species
GCCUAACGGCUGAACUGGCAACUUGGAGAAGUGGCAAGUCUUCCAGUAUGGGGAGCAAAACAGCUAUGGGUCAAGUCCGAUAUCUUUAGGAGAAGUCUUAUUGUGAGGGCGAGUUAUAUAACACCAUAGGACUGGCCGUCCCAUAUGAAAAGAUUAUAUUAGAAUUGAAUGAAGCUUUGUUUAUAUAUUGAUAAUGACAGUAUAUAUAUCGUGUCUUGACUAAUUGCGUGCCAGCAGUCGCGGUAAUACGUAAGAGACUAGUGUUAUUCAUCUUAAUUAGGUUUAAAGGGUACCCAGACGGUCAAUAUAGCUUAUAAAAUGUUAGUACUUGACUAGAGUUUUAUGUAAGAGGGCAGUACUUGAGGAGGAGAGAUGAAAUUUCGUGAUACCAAAGGGACUCUGUAAAGGCGAAGGCAGCCCUCUAUGUAAAAACUGACGUUGAAGGACGAAGGCACAGAGAACAAACAGGAUUAGAUACCCAAGUAGUCUUUGCAGUAAAUGAUGAAUGCCAUAGGUUAGAUUGGUCAAUUAUAGUCUAGGGUUAGUCUAGCAAACUAAUGCCCUAUGAUAUAAUUCCAAAUAUCUGGUCUAUAAAUGAAAGUGUAAGCAUUUCACCUCAAGAGUAAUGUGGCAACGCAGGAACUGAAAUCACUAGACCGUUUCUGACACCAGUAGUGAAG